rnacentral:lncRNA from 1 species
CUAGAAUGUUUUCAGCAGUCACUGAAAGAAAAACGGACUCAUAGAGGCUGAAAACAGUCUUCAGAUGUGAAACUUUCUCAUGAAAAGAGUGGCUGUGCCGUUUUGUGUUCCCAUGAGCAGUGAAUGAGAGUUCCUGUUGCUCCACGUGCUUGUCAACUUUUGGUGUUGUCCGUGCUUUGAAGUUUAGCCAUUCUAACAGUGUUGGGCUUGGUCAUGUAACUUGCUUUAGCCAAUGGAAUGUGGCAGAAGUGACAUUUUGACAGCUCUGGACUUUAAAAGACCUUGCAAGUUUCUGCCAACUUGUGGAGCACACCUAAAUCCAAUUCACAGCCUGAAGCACAGCUUCAGCACACAAGCUACAGCCAACACAAGCAAUGCGAAUGAGAGGUAAGCAUUUGUAAC